rnacentral:rRNA from 1 species
CCUACGGGUGGCAGCAGUGGGGAAUAUUGCACAAUGGGCGAAACCCUGAUGCAGCGACGCCGCGUGAAGGAUGAAGUAUUUCGGUAUGUAAACUUCUAUCAGCAGGGAAGAAAAUGACGGUACCUGACUAAGAAGCCCCGUCUAACUACGUGCCAGCAGCCGUGGUAAUACGUAGGGGGCAAGCGUUAUCCGGAUUUACUGGGUGUAAAGGGAGCGUAGACGGUAUGGCAAGUCUGAUGUGAAAACCUGGGGCUCAACCCCGGGACUGCAGUGGAAACUGCCGAACUAGAGUGUGGGAGAGGCAAGUGGAAUUCGUAGUGUAGCGGUGAAAUGCGUAGAUAUUAGGAGGAACACCAGUGGCGAAGGCAGCUUGCUGGACGAUGACUGACGUUGAGGCUCGAAAGCGUGGGGAGCGAACAGGAUUAGAUACCCGUGUAGUC